rnacentral:tRNA from 1 species
UGGCUCAGAUGGUAGAGAAUCUGUCUGCGAUGCAGGAGACCCAGGUUCGAUCCCUGG